rnacentral:rRNA from 1 species
AUCCCUGGCAGCUUGCUGCCGGGGUGAGAGUGGCGAACGGGUGAGUAAUGCGUGACCGACCUGCCCCAUGCACCGGAAUAGCUCCUGGAAACGGGUGGUAAUGCCGGAUGUUCCACAUGAGCGCAUGCGAGUGUGGGAAAGGCUUUUGCGGCAUGGGAUGGGGUCGCGUCCUAUCAGCUUGUUGGUGGGGUAACGGCCUACCAAGGCGUUGACGGGUAGCCGGCCUGAGAGGGCGACCGGCCACAUUGGGACUGAGAUACGGCCCAGACUCCUACGGGAGGCAGCAGUGGGGAAUAUUGCACAAUGGGCGCAAGCCUGAUGCAGCGACGCCGCGUGCGGGAUGGAGGCCUUCGGGUUGUAAACCGCUUUUGUUCAAGGGCAAGGCACGGUUUCGGCCGUGUUGAGUGGAUUGUUCGAAUAAGCACCGGCUAACUACGUGCCAGCAGCCGCGGUAAUACGUAGGGUGCAAGCGUUAUCCGGAUUUAUUGGGCGUAAAGGGCUCGUAGGCGGUUCGUCGCGUCCGGUGUGAAAGUCCAUCGCUUAACGGUGGAUCCGCGCCGGGUACGGGCGGGCUUGAGUGCGGUAGGGGAGACUGGAAUUCCCGGUGUAACGGUGGAAUGUGUA